rnacentral:sRNA from 1 species
AACACCCACAAACAACGUCACGACGCAACGUGGUUAAACAGUACGUUUAUUAAAGUAACUGGGUGAACGACAUCGGAGCGGACUGCAAAUCGCAACGCUACUUUCUCGAGUGCAGAUACUCUUCGAGACGGCUAAACAACGUGUCCAACUCGCUGAGACCUUUCCGCGUGCCGUUAUCCGAUUUCCUUUCCGCCUCCUGAGACAGCCGACUAAUCACGGACUUAUCUCCGCAACCUAACAGAGGCUGGGAGCCCGACAAAAGUAAAACAGCGUGCUAUGAACACGUUGUUACCUCUGCGCGGACAGCGCCGCCACAGAGACACUUACGCAUUGCCGCAUGUCUUUGUAGAUGGAUUCUAGCGUCGAGCGCAUACUAUGCAAUUCCGUCUUAAGUCCAGGAUAGACGUGGUCGCCUGCGGGGAACACGAUCUCCAGAUACCGCCUCAACAACCAGUCCAUGACGCUGCAUCCCCAACAGCCUUUGACCACCGUACCGUCGAGCCACACGGAGUAGUCGUCCUCACGUUGCUACAAGAGGAAAACUACGUCACCCGACACGCGGAAAAGAAAGACCGUCGCAAUAAACCGUACCUACGUGACCUACCAACGUAGGUUUUACUCGAUGAAAGGUGACGCGGAGAUCUUGCAAUCUGGUCGCGUAAUCCUCCGGACGACACUGCGGCUUUGUAUUCUUUAUCGUCGUCGUCGUCGUCGUCGCCGCCGGCUUCGCCUCCUCGGAAGCGCCUAGAAAAAAGACGAUCAGGACCAGAGAGGAAGAGACCAUCACCGACAGCAUCGCCGCAGCAUGCCGCCCCAAUCCGCCGCCCAACUGCGCGUCCCAGAUACCACUCGUAGACUGUCAGCCUCGCGAGGAGACACCGCGGACCGGGGAAACGGAUAAGUUUACGAACAGAAAUCUCAAGAGAAAGACGCUGACCCGGCAAGUACCGUCACGGAGACACGGUGGUUUUUAUUGAAUUUCCAGUGUAUCGAGCCACCGUGAUGCAGGUACGGUGGUUUUAUGUGAAGUGCCGCUAUCUAUAGGCGAUGUGUUCCCUGACGGUGUGUGUUUUUUGGGGAUAGACAACGUGGUUCUUGUACGUGGUUUUUACCCUGCUCAAUAAAGUCACGUUUUCCUUACACGGUGUUGUGUC